AUAAUUUAGGACUGAUUUUGCGGUGUAAUUUCAACCCGCUUUCUCAGAUACCUCUAGGUUUGAAAGAGAGACGAGAUGAAGAACUUAAAGACUCGACUGCUAUGGUUCGGUGUAGGGAUUUUGGUGGGAGGAGCUGUGAUUUCCCACUUCGUCUGGAGAGGCUUGAGGAGCGAUCGAUACGCUCUCGUGUAUGAUACGAAGCUGAAAUUGGCUGCUUUGGAAGCCAGAGUGUUGAAGCUCGAGGCAGUCUCUUUUCCGAAGUCGAAUCCCACUCAGGCUGAAAGCUAGCAUUAUUUCAAGCACAGAUCUACAUCUCAGUCUCUCAGACGGAAAAGAGGACUAACUAAGAUUUAUUGUCUUCAAGCAUGACUCGUUUAUUGGAUUUAAAUAUUUUUACUGAGAUCGCAACGUACCAUGGAUGAUCUACAAAUUUUAAAUUGCUAGUCUUGCUGCCUUGGAACAAGGAAAAAGUGGAGUCUAAAAAAGUCACUUUCUUUUUUGUUUUGCCAUUAUAA